rnacentral:rRNA from 1 species
AUUGAACGCUGGCGGCAGGCUUAACACAUGCAAGUCGAGCGGUUUAUUUUAGCUUGCUAGAAUAGAUAGCGGCGAACGGGUGAGUAAAGCUUAGGAAUCUGGCUAUUAGUGGGGGACAACGUUUCGAAAGGGACGCUAAUACCGCAUACGUCCUACGGGAGAAAGCAGGGGAUCACUUGUGACCUUGCGCUAAUAGAUGAGCCUAAGUCGGAUUAGCUAGUUGGUGGGGUAAAGGCCUACCAAGGCGACGAUCUGUAGCGGGUCUGAGAGGAUGAUCCGCCACACUGGGACUGAGACACGGCCCAGACUCCUACGGGAGGCAGCAGUGGGGAAUAUUGGACAAUGGGGGGAACCCUGAUCCAGCCAUGCCGCGUGUGUGAAGAAGGCCUUAUGGUUGUAAAGCACUUUAAGCGAGGAGGAGGCUUUUCUAGAUAAUACCUAGGAUAAGUGGACGUUACUCGCAGAAUAAGCACCGGCUAACUCUGUGCCAGCAGCCGCAGUAACA